AUGGUACUCCCUCCGUCCGAAAAUACUUGUCAAAAAAUGGAUAGAAAUAAAUGUAUCUGGAGCUAAAAUAUGUCUCGGUACAUCCAUUCAUCCGACAAGUAUUUUUGGACGGAGGGAGUACAAA
rfam:Triticum aestivum genome assembly, contig: Triticum_aestivum_CS42_TGACv1_scaffold_095748_2AL